UCUCCUGGAAACGGGUGGUAAUGCCGGAUGUUCCACAUGAGCGCAUGCGAGUGUGGGAAAGGCUUUUUGCGGCAUGGGAUGGGGUCGCGUCCUAUCAGCUUGUUGGUGGGGUAACGGCCUACCAAGGCGUUGACGGGUAGCCGGCCUGAGAGGGCGACCGGCCACAUUGGGACUGAGAUACGGCCCAGACUCCUACGGGAGGCAGCAGUGGGGAAUAUUGCACAAUGGGCGCAAGCCUGAUGCAGCGACGCCGCGUGCGGGAUGGAGGCCUUCGGGUUGUAAACCGCUUUUGUUCAAGGGCAAGGCACGGUUUCGGCCGUGUUGAGUGGAUUGUUCGAAUAAGCACCGGCUAACUACGUGCCAGCAGCCGCGGUAAUACGUAGGGUGCAAGCGUUAUCCGGAUUUAUUGGGCGUAAAGGGCUCGUAGGCGGUUCGUCGCGUCCGGUGUGAAAGUCCAUCGCUUAACGGUGGAUCCGCGCCGGGUACGGGCGGGCUUGAGUGCGGUAGGGGAGACUGGAAUUCCCGGUGUAACGGUGGAAUGUGUAGAUAUCGGGAAGACACCA
rnacentral:rRNA from 1 species